rnacentral:rRNA from 1 species
GAAGCCGGAAUUGCUAGUAAUGGCAGGUCAGCAUACUGCCGUGAAUACGUUCCCGGGCCUUGUACACACCGCCCGUCACACCAUGAGAGUUGGGGAUACCCGAAGCCUGUGAGCUAACUAUUUAUAGGAGCAGUAGUCGAAGGUAGAAUCAAUGAUUGGGGUGAAGUCGUAACAAGGUACC